UAGGGAAUCUUCCACAAUGGACGCAAGUCUGAUGGAGCAACGCCGCGUGAGUGAAGAAGGCUUUCGGGUCGUAAAACUCUGUUAUUGAAGAAGAACGUGCGUGACAGUAACUGGUCAUGCAGUGACGGUAUUCAAUCAGAAAGUCACGGCUAACUACGUGCCAGCAGCCGCGGUAAUACGUAGGUGGCAAGCGUUGUCCGGAUUUAUUGGGCGUAAAGCGAGUGCAGGCGGUCUUUUAAGUCUGAUGUGAAAGCCUUCGGCUUAACCGAAGAAGGGCAUCGGAAACUGGGAGACUUGAGUGCAGAAGAGGAGAGUGGAACUCCAUGUGUAGCGGUGAAAUGCGUAGAUAUAUGGAAGAACACCAGUGGCGAAGGCGGCUCUCUGGUCUGUAACUGACGCUGAGGCUCGAAAGCGUGGGUAGCAAACAGGAUUAGAUACCCUGGUAGUCCAC
rnacentral:rRNA from 1 species